UGCAUUGGGCAGGAACGUUCUUUUCGGCGCGGUGGAGGAGGAAGACGGCCGUUCCUGCAUUGGGCUCCCGGGUGUGGAGCGACCGAAGAGUGGGGGCCUUGGGGUCCGCGGGCCAGGGCUCUUUGGGCGGCUCUCCGCACGGAGUCGGCGCAGUUGUCGAGUGAGGCGCAACGGGCCGUGCUCCGGGGCCUCGCGGGCCGUGUUCCGGGCCUCGCGGGCCGCGCGUGGUUCCCGGUCGCUGUCGGGAGAUGACAAGGUGUAUGCGGCUAGGAAGGGUUUUUUUUUUUUAGUGUCCUGUGCUGCCUGCCUACAUCUCUUGAGGGCUUAGAAGAUCUCGUCGGUCGGCCCACGGCAUAUAUUCGCACCGGUUUUUCGGCAGUCACCACGUGGCUUCCACACUUGCAGUUUCAGAAUUUGAAAGCACCAUACAGUCGCAGAAAACUGGAUAAGGCAGAGAGCAAGUGAUGGCCCAACCAGGAGUGAAUUCUGUUGACUGCAUGACAUCUGAUAGAGCUGGGGACAUUGGAAACCAAAGUGAUGACUCAUCUGAUAGCUUAUUUAAAACACAGUAUGUUCCUUCACCUACACAAAGACUAAGAAAUCCUACAAAAUGUGUGAUUUCACCUGCAAGGGUUGAAACUGACUCAUCAAGUGACUCCUCUCUGGAACCAAAGCCUCUGACUUUGAAGGCUAUUUUCGAAAGAUUUAAGAAAAGGAAACGGAAAAAGAGAAAGUAUAAGCCAAAAUUAAGACCAAGAGGAAGACCACCUGGAAUAAAAAAUGCUAGAAAUCCUAGAAGGUCACAGAUAGAUAUCAAACAAAUUAAAGACAAAGGAGCUGUGUUUCCAUUCUUAGAAUCUGAAAAUGGAAGAAAACCUUUACCUUGGAAGAAAAUUUUAACAUACGAGCAAGCUGUUGCAAGAGGAUUUUUUCACCACAUUGAAAAACUGAAGUAUGAGCAACACCUUAAGGAAUGCUUGGAGCAAAUGCAUGCUGGGGAGGAUUUAGAAAAGGAAGACCUUGACAGCCGGAGACACAAGUACAUGGAUGAUGAUGGUCCUCUUUCUCCUAUUGAAGAGCCUUUAACAGAAGAUGAGGCAACAAAUCCUGAGUCUGGAUGUGAUAUCAGAUUGGUUGAAGACAGUUGCUUCAUAAUAAGCUCAGAAUUUCCAAAGAAAAAUUUAGAGCAAGAAAAGAGUAAGAAAGAGUCUGCAUUCUCUAAAAAAGCUAAGGCCAACGAAACUGCACAGAGAGAACAUGGAAGGGCCUGGAAAGGAGAUGUACAUACAAGUAUCAAAGAAGGCUUGUCUUGAUUAUGAAGGCAGAAUUGAAGAUACCUGCGAAUGGAUGUUUGUUUCAGUGUGGUAAGUAGCAUACUGUCAAUUUAUAUCUUCAUUAUAUUUGUGAAUGCCAGUUUUAUUCUGUGAAAAUCUUAGAGUGCUCUAGCUUUCAAGAAAUCCUUGAGCAUGUUCAACUGUAUAUAUUUAGAAAGUAAUUUGAAAUGUUUACGAUAGUGCAAGAAUAAGCACUGAAGGCUAUAAGGUCUCAUACUCAAGUUAAAACAUUACCCUAUAAACUUUCUGAAACAUUGUAUAAUUACAGCAGAAAUUUGUACAAUCUUGAGUACAUAUAAUUUUCAAAAGUGUCAAUACUGUGCUUAAAAAAAAGUCAGACUAUACCCUUUUAGCCUCUUGAAGAAAAUUUACUUUGUACUGGUGCUUAAAACAGCUUGGUAAAGAAUCCAUACCAUGUGCUGAGUAUUUGAGGACCUGGCCCUAUAAGAAUGAGCUUCACUAGGCAAGUGUUCUGAGAUGACUUUUUUGUGAUUUCCUAAAGGUCCUAUUUGUAGAUAGAUGUUCAUACAGAAGUUGGCAUCACAAUGCUUUCCUUUUGAGGUCUAUCCCGAUGGGGCUUCCCUAAUAGCCACACAUCGUUGGAAACGCCUCAUAUAGUAACUUGUGGUUUGCUUGAUUCACAGGACUGCUUAUUAGGUCUGUGGAAAGGAGGAACUACAAGACAUUUAAAAGUAUGAAACACUAAUAUUUCAUUCAGGUUUUUUUUUAACUUCAGGUACUGGCAUAUCCUUCAAAAAUUAUUAAGAGUGUUAGGUAAGUUUGGCACUGUAUCUUGGGAAAACAUAGUUACAGUUCAUAUGAUGAAUUAAAAUUGUUCAACUGCUGAAUGAUACAGACAUGAACUAAAACUUAAUUCUGAUAGAACUGGCUACAGCUAUUAAGUCUGGACAGUGAACUUAAGACUAGUUUUUAUAACUGGGAAUUCUAUCCUUUUUUUUUUAAAGACUUAUGUACUAUUCUCUAGGAAUGAAUAUUAGCAGAACUCUUCAAACAUGUUGCUGGUUUUACUUGAUGAAUAAUGUGUGAGACUUUCACUGAGCCUCAUUCUACAUAAGAAUGGGCACUGUCAGUCAGUGUCCAGAACUGGUUAAUGUGGCUAAAUUGAGGCACAGGUCAUGCUUCCAUCACAGUAGAUCUAUUACAGUGGUGACAAUGAGACCUGUAACAUUUUG